GACCUGGUGGUGGAGUUGGAACCACGUUUACUUUCCGUGGUACACAUUCGGGAAAUAUAAGUAGAGGACCCUCGUUUGAUCCGGGGCCAGGUUA